rnacentral:lncRNA from 1 species
CUACCCCUCUGCCAAUAACUCAUCCUACACUGCCAUCAUCGUUGGUGAUGGCUUCCUCUGUGUGCUCGCUUCCAUAUUGUUAUGAAAGAUUUCCGACCGUGGCCAAAUAUGGCUGGAGCGGGCCAGAGACCACUGGAGUGGCGUCCCUGCAAAAUAAGUUUCGACUAGAGUUAGCUUUGGUAUGGACCCUCCGACGGUCAAGUCAGAAAUUUGACACAACAGAGGAGAAGGAAAGAGAAUUAUGAGAGAGCAUAA